rnacentral:rRNA from 1 species
UGCGUUUCAAUAUAUUUUAUUAUAUAACGAGUCUACAAAGGAGUGGUUCAUUAACAGACAAUCAUAUCUUUGAGCGUCUGGAAUCUACUCUAUUUGGCUCAAUUGAACGCAACGGACGUGAUCGCGAGUCCUUGUUGAACUUCAGUAUAUAUUGACUAUCCCCGUAGGAAGGGAUUGGCAAUAAUUGAAUGUUCGCUUUCUAUUAGGUGUGUAUAUAUAGUCUCAAAAUUACAUGUAUUUGUAAUGGCGAGUAAUAUUUAUACUAUCCUGUAGGAAAACUCGGGCGACCGCUGUAAUAUUUCUCUUUAAAACAGAGGAAGAUUGCGGCAAUAACAGGUCUGUGAUGCCCUCAGAUGUCCCGGGCCGCACACGUGCUACAUUGAUUAGCGCAGUGCGCAUACUUUCAAUAUGAUACAUUAGAUUGGAUUGUUCUGUUGAGCUCCAUCUAAUACUAUCCGGCUUGAGAAGGCUGGGUAAUCAAUUGUAAGUGCUGGUUCCUCCUCCCGUUGAGCAUUUUAAUAAUGGCCUCUCUACAUCCCUAGCAAUAUGCCUAGUGCGAUUGUAGUUGAGCCUUGCCAUUUAUGCAAGUGUCAAUUCUCAGUGGGGACAGACAUUUGAUAAUUCUUUGUCUCGUUCUUAACUAGGAAUGCCUUGUACGGGUCUUGGUUCAACAGACCACCCGGAAUACGUCCCUGCCCUUUGUACACACCGCCCGUCGCUCUUACCGAUGAAUUUCCCUGUGAGUUUGAAGGACUGAUGGUUGCAAAAUCAUUGGAAAUUCUGUCAAACAGCGAGAUUUAAAGGAAAGAGAAGUC